UUUUCUACAAAUCGGAAUGACCUGAAAUUUGGGCGUGUGUUCAUAAAAAAUAAGCUCAUCUACGAAAAAUAUAAAAAAAAAUAUUUUACAUGAAAAAAAUUGACCAAAAUACCCCCAAAAUGUUUUGGGAUGUUUUGGUCAAUAUUGUUUUUGCGAAUUAUUUUUUUUAUAUUUUUAUUAGGUGCACCUCACUAAAGUGUACAUACGCUCCAAAUUUCAGGUCAUUCCAAUUCGUAGAAAA
rnacentral:pre_miRNA from 1 species